UUCCAAGGGUGCUGGUCCGGAUGGUAUUC
rnacentral:sRNA from 1 species